ACCUGGUUGGCUCAGUCAGUGGAGCAUGUGACUCUUGAUCUCAGGGUUGUGAGUUCAAGCCCCACACUGGGCA
rnacentral:tRNA from 1 species